rnacentral:rRNA from 1 species
GGAUGAACGCUGGCGGCGUGCCUAACACAUGCAAGUCGAACGCGAGUCUUCGGGACUCGAGUGGCGGACGGGUGAGUAACACGUUAGUACCUGCCCCAAAGUGGGGAAUAACUGCCCGAAAGGGUGGCUAAUACCGCAUGUGGCCGUUUACGGUCAAAGCCUUCGGGCGCUUUGGGAGGGGCUUGCGUCUGAUUAGCUAGUUGGUAGGGUAAUGGCCUACCAAGGCGAUGAUCAGUAGCNGGUUCGAGAGGAUGACCAGCCACACGGGGACUGAGAUACGGCCCCGACUCCUACGGGAAGCAGCAGUGAGGAAUCUUCCGCAAUGGACGAAAGUCUGACGGAGCAACGCCGCGUGCAGGAUGACGGCC